GGCGUUCGCAGCGCCCUUCGGGAGCGGCGGGAGCUUCAUUUCCCGGACACAAAGCGCCCCUCCCGCCCACGGACACGGGCUUGGGGUUUGCAUGGUCGGUGGUAGGAGUGGGGCGGCCCGAAAGGAAAUUUAGACUGCCUCAAGGUCUUGAAUCCUUGGUGGAAACUGAAGUACCAGCGUAUGUGCAAUAGGGAGGUGAGGGACAUACUCCAGGACAGCUUCUCCAGGAGAGCUCUGCCCAGAGGAUUUGUGCUCUCCCUUGCCACGUGUUUCUUGCAAAGUGUCUAUUACCCAGUAACCAGAACAGAGUCCAAACUUGACAUUGCCCACAGCGCUCUCUGAAGCAAGAGCCUAUCUCCAAUCAAAGUUGGAAAAUUUGUCCUUGUUCAUGAAUACAUUUGCUUACUUUCACACAUGCAGUGGCAUAUAAAAAACUCCUUUCAUUGAAUGAAGGCAAAAGUUCAGUGUCAAAGAAUUUUCAGGGGAUUAAUUAUUGGAUGAACUAAAGCCCCACCUAUUUAUCAUAGCUAAAUGUUUCCCAUAAGAUGCCCUUCAAAGAUAAGUUAUAUGUAUGUGCUGGGUUUGUGCGGCAGGGUUUUGGUAGCAGAGGAGCUUAACAGGGGUGGCACCUGCCAGAAGCUUCCGAUGUUUCACCGAACCAAUACCAGCCAGCUCCAAGAGAGACUCACCCAGCUGUGUCCCCAUCCAUGCCCCGCCCUCUCCCAUUCCCUGAUCUGUUAUCCCAGGGGUGUCACCACCAUCACUGAUGGGCUCAGCCUUGACCAGUGAAGUGAAAUUUAGUCCAGGAAGAAUGGAAAGUAGGAGAAAAGUGUUCUAAGGUCUGGGCUUUUGUUUCGUUACUCUGCUCUGAUUUGGUUGGUAAUAAAUCGGUUUCCUCAAGUCCGUUUUGCCUGUGACAGUAAUUGGUGAGUGAUCCCUCCCUGUGCUUAUCUUGACCCAUGAGCCUUUCAUUAAGUUUUCUCUCCCCUGCUCAGCUGAGGAGGGGAGUGACAGAGAGGCUUUGGUGGCACCCGAUAUCCACCCAGCAUCAGGCCUCCACCACAAUGCUGCAUUUUAUUAUGUACUCAGGAAAAACACCUUUACACCUUCUCAGACUGCUGCACCAUCUCCUAGAAAUAUGACAAGAGGACAAUUUGAACAAUGCUAUAAUUUGACUGAGUAUUUCUGCAAAGCUAUUACCAACUCCAAACAUAUUUAAUACAUGGACUUGUUUAGCUAUCUGCAAGUGUUCUUUCUAAAAAAGUUUAUUGUGCAUUUUCCAGCCUCGGUUUUGUGAUACAAAAAACAUGCCCACUCAGAUUUUUUUGAUUGAAAUUAUUCAAUGAAUAACCAAUUAUUAACAACAACUUGGAUACCAGCACACCUAUCUUCACUCAUCACAGGUAAAUUCAGGUUUUCAGUCGCUCUGUUUCAAAACCAUUUGCAGUUCUGACACCCAGUCUGGGUCAUCUUCCUCAAAGUCCCUAAAAAUAGAUUUCAAAAAAAGUUAUUUUGAAAAGCAAAAUACAACCUUAUAAAUCUUUAAUUGCUUUCCCCCCCCAAAGAAUUACCCUGUAAUUAGGAUAAAUUAUGUUAAAAAUAUCAGCACAAGACACUUACUUCCUACCCCACUGUGAUUAAAGAAGCAACAUGGUUCUUUAUGAUUCUUGGUGGAAUUUACAAAAGUAAGUUUCAUCAAAAUCAAAGACAAAAUAAUAUAUUAAGAGACUGCAAAUGUAUUGAUAAUUGACAGCCUGCAGCUGAACUGCAGCAAUACAGGCCGAGGUAGUCAUCUCCAGGUGCCACAAAAAUAAACAGUGACACAAACUGAGAUGCUGAGCAUCUGAGAACCACUCCCAAAACAUACACGCAUCCAAAAAUCACAGCAUUUUUGUUCAUACAUUUUAAGAUAUCAAAUGCUACUAAAUUUCACUUUCAUUAUGUAAGAGAAGGAUGGAUUUAGAUACUGAAGAAAAAUACUAUUUUUUUUUCUCAGGGGAAUAUUGUUAUGGAAAAAUCUCUUUGAGGAAUCAAAGAAAAUGUAAAUGCAAGGACAUCACUUGGGACUUACGUGUCAUCUUCAUCAGAUCUAGGUUCAAGUCUCUCAGAAUCUAUGACAACAGCUUCAUGUUCACCAUCCACUUCAUCAGAUGCUUUGCUUUCAUCAGAAAGUGGACCUCUUAAUAUGUUUUCAGAAGCUUUGAAAACAUAAAAAUGAAAAUGUCAUCAAAAUAUUUUAAUUUUUAAAGCAAAACUAUUAAGAAUAUAAAUAAAAAAUAGUCUAAUUCA